GCAUCCGUGGAGUAGUAGUUAACUUAUUCCUCUCCCAUUCUCCUCGGUGGCCGAGUGGUAAAAGGAAAGACCCGGGUGCAAAUCCCGGCGGAUGCA